rnacentral:rRNA from 1 species
UGUGUAGGCGGUUGUUUAAGUUCGGUGUGAAAUCUCCCGGCUCAACUGGGAGGGUGCGCCGAAUACUGAAUGACUCGAGUGCGGGAGAGGAGAGUGGAAUUCCUGGUGUAGCGGUGAAAUGCGUAGAUAUCAGGAGGAACACCGGUGGUGUAGACGGCUCUCUGGACCGUAACUGACGCUGAGACACGAAAGCGUGGGUAGCAAACAGGAUUAGAUACCCUGGUAGUCCACGCCCUAAACGAUGCAUAUUUGGUGUGGGCCGUUCAGUCGGUCCGUGCCGGAGCUAACGCGUUAAAUAUGCCGCCUGGGGAGUACAGUCGCAAGGCUGAA